GCCGGGAUGACGAAAUGGUAGACGUAGUGGACUUAAAAUCCACGGGACGAAAGUCCAUGCCGGUUCAAGUCCGGCUCCCGGCACCA
rnacentral:tRNA from 1 species